rnacentral:piRNA from 1 species
UGAAGAAUGAGAUAAGUCCUAAGAAUGUGGU